rnacentral:rRNA from 1 species
AACGCGAAGAACCUUACCUACCCUUGACAUGGUUCGAAUCUGACAGAGAUGUUGGAGUGCUCGCAAGAGAACGGAUACACAGGUGCUGCAUGGCUGUCGUCAGCUCGUGUCGUGAGAUGUUGGGUUAAGUCCCGCAACGAGCGCAACCCUUGUCAUUAAUUGCCAUCAUUAAGUUGGGCACUUUAAUGAGACUGCCGGUGACAAACCGGAGGAAGGUGGGGAUGACGUCAAGUCCUCAUGGCCCUUAUGGGUAGGGCUUCACACGUCAUACAAUGGUGCAUACAGAGGGCAGCCAACCCGCGAGGGGGAGCCAAUCCCGCAAAGUGCAUCGUAGUCCGGAUUGGAGUCUGCAACCCGACUCCAUGAAGUUGGAAUCGCUAGUAAUCGCGGAUCAGCAUGUCGCGGUGAAUACGUUCCCGGGCCUUGUA